rnacentral:rRNA from 1 species
ACACAUGCAAGUCGAGGGGCAGCAUUUUAGUUUGCUUGCAAACUAAAGAUGGCGACCGGCGCACGGGUGAGUAACACGUAUCCAACCUGCCGAUAACUCGGGGAUAGCCUUUCGAAAGAAAGAUUAAUAUCCGAUAGUAUAUUAAAACCGCAUGGUUUUACUAUUAAAGAAUUUCGGUUAUCGAUGGGGAUGCGUUCCAUUAGUUUGUUGGCGGGGUAACGGCCCACCAAGACUACGAUGGAUAGGGGUUCUGAGAGGAAGGUCCCCCACAUUGGAACUGAGACACGGUCCAAACUCCUACGGGAGGCAGCAGUGAGGAAUAUUGGUCAAUGGACGAGAGUCUGAACCAGCCAAGUAGCGUGAAGGAUGACUGCCCUAUGGGUUGUAAACUUCUUUUAUAUGGGAAUAAAGUAUUCCACGUGUGGGAUUUUGUAUGUACCAUAUGAAUAAGGAUCGGCUAACUCCGUGCCAGCAGCCGCGGUAAUACGGAGGAUCCGAGCGUUAUCCGGAUUUAUUGGGUUUAAAGGGAGCGUAGGUGGAUUGUUAAGUCAGUUGUGAAAGUUUGCGGCUCAACCGUAAAAUUGCAGUUGAAACUGGCAGUCUUGAGUACAGUAGAGGUGGGCGGAAUUCGUGGUGUAGCGGUGAAAUGCUUAGAUAUCACGAAGAACUCCGAUUGCGAAGGCAGCUCACUAGACUGCAACUGACACUGAUGCUCGAAAGUGUGGGUAUCAAACAAGGAUUAGAUACCC